AGAACUGCCGUUGAUACUGCUAGUCUUGAGUAUAGUUGAGGUAGCUGGAAUGAGUAGUGUAGCGGUGAAAUGCAUAGAUAUUACUCAGAACACCGAUUGCGAAGGCAGGUUACCAAGUUAUAACUGACGCUGAGGGACGAAAGCGUGGGGAGCGAACAGGAUUAGAUACCCUGGUAGUCCACGCCGUAAACGAUGCUAACUCGUUUUUGGGCUUUUGGGUUCAGAGACUAAGCGAAAGUGAUAAGUUAGCCACCUGGGGAGUACGACCGCAAGGUUGAAACUCAAAGGAAUUGACGGGGGCCCGCACAAGCGGUGGAUCAUGUGGUUUAAUUCGAUGAUACGCGAGGAACCUUACCAAGGCUUAAAUGGGAAUUGACAGCUGUAGAAAUACGGUUUUCUUCGGACAAUUUUCAAGGUGCUGCAUGGUUGUCGUCAGCUCGUGCCGUGAGGUGUUAGGUUAAGUCCUGCAACGAGCGCAACCCCUGUCACUAGUUGCCAUCAUUAAGUUGGGGACUCUAGUGAGACUGCCUACGCAAGUAGAGAGGAAGGUGGGGAUGACGUCAAAUCAUCACGGCCCUUACGCCUUGGGCCACACACGUGAUACAAUGGCCGGUACAGAGGGCAGCUACACUGCGAAG
rnacentral:rRNA from 1 species